rnacentral:rRNA from 1 species
AUAAUGGAGAGUUUGAUCCUGGCUCAGGACGAACGCUGGCGGCGUGCCUAAUACAUGCAAGUCGAGCGGAACCAUUGGAGCUUGCUCCUUUGGUUUAGCGGCGGACGGGUGAGUAACACGUGGGCAACCUGCCCUGCAGAUCGGGAUAACUCCGGGAAACCGGUGCUAAUACCGAAUAGUUUGCGGCCUCUCAUGAGGCUGUACGGAAAGACGGUUUCGGCUGUCACUGCAGGAUGGGCCCGCGGCGCAUUAGCUAGUUGGUGAGGUAACGGCUCACCAAGGCCACGAUGCGUAGCCGACCUGAGAGGGUGAUCGGCCACACUGGGACUGAGACAC